UUCCAUUACAUGUGUCGUCAGCUCCCAGCAAACGCGCGAGGGUGUUUUACAGGGAAGACUAGAAAGGGUUAAGGAAGCACGGAAAGAGGAGAGGAGAGAACAAAAAAAAAAAGAAGGGAGACAAAUUGCAAUCCACCGCGAGACCCCGUCGCCACCUCCCCCUCCUCCUUUCCCCCUUUCCUUCCCUUCCUCAUUCUCCUCCGCCUUCUCCUGCCCCUCCCUUCCCUAUUUGCAGCACCGCCCACCCAUCGCCUCCGCUCCUACUUCUACCGUGAGCGGUGCUCUCCGUUGUCUCCUCCUCCCCCAUCCCUUCCCUCUGUGCAGCACCGCCCGUCCCGUCCCGUCGCCUCCGCCCCCUGCUCUCACGCAAGCUCGUCGCCUCCUCCCUUCUCCCUCCUCCUCAGGAGGCGCAAGUAUGCCGAAAAGUGUGGCGGCGACGUCCUUCUUCGCGCGGGACCCACUAGACUCGAGGAAGGCCACCAGGGGAGGGAUGGCGUCGGAGCAUCUGAUGACGGUGCGGAGGUCGUCAAGCUGGGGGAGGACGCAGGCGACGUUCUCGCGGGCGACUAGGUACCGGUGCAGAGGGCGCGAACGAGGGGGCGGAUCCCCUCGACAGCGAUGAUCAGGGUCUUGCUCCCGUCGCAGAGGGAGCGGUCCAACAUGGGGAUGACGCUGUGCUCCUAGAGCCGGGGGUCUGGGUGAGAGAGCAGUGCGACUAGGGUGCUAACUGCGUCGACGACGACGAUGCGUAGCCGACUCUCCGUGUUGUCUUCACGAUGGGAGUCUAGGGCGGCGGGAGAGGGGAGGGGGGAGGAGGAGGCCAGGAGGAGAAAGGGGGGAGGGAAGGGUAAAGGGGAAGGGAGGAGGGGUGGGAGGCGACGGGCGACGCCGCUCGCGAUGGGAGUUGUGGGGAAGGCGACACGUGGCGCCACUCGCCGUGGUUGACUGAUGCAGCGCAAGGAUGUUUUUAUCAAGUGAUAAAAAAGGAUCAGUCCAAGAUAAAAAUUAAUGACGGAUAUUUUAGAAUAAAGCAUCGCUUCUAACCUCGAAAAUGAUUGGUUUGGUAAUUAGUAUAAGUUAUCAAAAGGAGGCACGAAUAAUCCUUCUACCCACCCGUCUACCACCGCACCGUUCUCUUCUGGUGCUGAUUGAUGGUCGGUCCCGCUGCUGGCCUUUUGGUAGAUUCGGCGGUACGAAUAUAUGGGGCAUACUAUGGAUUGCUCUUAAAGAAGCCAUGUGGUUGUCAGGGAGGGUGGUGGCCCAGAGAUUCUAGCCGUCCGAUUUUGAUUUGACGGUGAUUUGCAAUACCUUGUAUAAUUCCUCGGGAGCCGCCUUCCUUGCCUUUCUCCCUCUAGCUACUUCGAUCGCCGAGAUAUCGUAAACACCACGCUCCGCUGCUUCAGCCAUGGAGAACGACGACGACGCCCCGCCUCUCGCCGUCCGAAUUGGAAAAGAACCCGAGAGUAAUCCUCCGGAACGUUCCUACCGUUCCCAAAAUGUACAGCGGGGAACCUCGGAGGAAUCUCCGGUCGGAGUCACUGUCAUCACCGGGUACCUCGGCGCCGGCAAAUCCACGUUAGUUAAUUACAUCCUGAAUGCGCAACAUGGAAAGAAGAUUGCCGUGAUAUUGAAUGAGUUUGGAGAGGAGAUAGGAGUAGAGAGGGCGAUGAUCAAUGAGGGUGAAGGUGGUGCGCUUGUGGAGGAAUGGGUGGAGUUGGCCAAUGGCUGUGUUUGUUGCACCGUUAAGCACAGCCUUGUACAAGCUCUGGAGCAGCUUGUUCAGCGGAAAGAAAGACUCGAUCAUAUAUUGUUGGAGACAACUGGACUGGCUGAUCCUGCUCCCCUUGCCUCUGUUCUUUGGCUGGAUGAUCAGCUGGAGUCAGAAAUUACUCUUGAUUCUAUAAUCACAGUUGUGGAUGCCAAAAACUUACAACGACAGCUUGAGGAGCAUCUUAAGUCUUCUUUCUUUCCUGAAGCAUUCCUUCAGAUAGCAUUCGCUGAUGUCGUGAUUUUAAACAAAGUUGAUUUGGUCUUGCAAGAGGGUUAUGGGCUUGAUACUUCAUCCAUAUUGGAAGAACUGGAAAAGAAGAUCUAUGAUAUCAACUCACUUGCCACUGUCAUACACAGUGUUCGUUGCCAAGUUGAUCUGUGUAAAAUUUUGGAUCGGCAGGCCUAUGGUGCUAAGAAUAUAGCUCAUCUGGAGAAACUUUUAGAAGACAGUAAAUCUACAUUUAGCAGAAGCCGUCAUGAUAACACUCUUCGCACAUUGUGCAUUUAUGAGGAGCAACCAGUUGAUUUAGAUAUGGUAGGGUCUUAUUUACCAGCAACAUGGGUGCCUGUUUCUUUAGUUCUGGUUCGUUCUUGGCUAGAGGAUCUUCUAUGGGAGAAGAAAUCUAAUAUGGAUGUCUAUCGCUGCAAAGGGGUUUUAAAUGUCCUCAACUCUGAUCAACUUCAUACUCUCCAGGCAGUCAGAGAAAUAUAUGAGAUUGUACCAGCUCGCAAAUGGCAUCAAGGAAAAAAGCAAAUGAGCAAGAUAGUUUUCAUAGGUCAUAAUCUGGACAUUAGCAUUCUCGCUGAUUCUUUCAGAUCUUGCACAGUUUUGACUUGAUAUGCACCUGGAAUGCUAUGCAAUUAAGCAAGGAUUCCACAAGUCUUCAAAUUUCUUAGUUAUACUUACCAGUCUCAAGCCUUUUCCAAUGUUGCUAUUACACCCAACAAAUUGUUACUUUUGGGCAAUCAAGUGAAACCCCAAGCACCAGUGUGCAAGAUUCAUGCUCGGAGAAAUCUCAUUUAUAUAUAUAUGGUGAAACUCGUAAGCCAAGGAUGGAAGAUGGUUGAAGCAAUGUCCCUGCCAAGAGAGUGAAUGUUCUAUUGUUGUUCUAUUAGCAUAUAUGUAUUCACUAAUCAUGCAGGCAUAGCAGUGAGCAUUUCUGAAUGUUUAAUAGCUAGUGCAAAAUUUAAGCUCUGAUCAUAUAUCAAAAUCCUAAACCCAGUAUGGUCAUGUUAUUUUCUAACGCAUUGUUCUUGUGGCAGACACACUUGUGGUUGGGCUCAACCCAACUGGAUCCAAGUUUUUUACUUUAUACCUACUGAUUGAGCUGGUAGGCUGA